UGGCAGUGGGUCAAAGUUAAGAUACCAGAAGUCCCUGUGAAUCUCGAGAGGCAGAGUAGCAGUCAUCCAGGCUCUGUAACCCAGAGAGGGACCCAGAGGUACACGGAGCUCUCUCGCCACCAAAGAUGCUCCUUUUCACAGCAGUGAGAGAUCACUUCA